CCUACGGGUCGCAGGAGUGGGGAAUCUUGCGCAAUGGGCGAAAGCCUGACGCAGCCAUGCCGCGUGAAUGAUGAAGGUCUUAGGAUUGUAAAAUUCUUUCACCGGGGACGAUAAUGACGGUACCCGGAGAAGAAGCCCCGGCUAACUUCGUGCCAGCAGCCGCGGUAAUACGAAGGGGGCUAGCGUUGCUCGGAAUUACUGGGCGUAAAGGGCGCGUAGGCGGACAUUUAAGUCAGGGGUGAAAUCCCGGGGCUCAACCUCGGAACUGCCUUUGAUACUGGGUGUCUUGAGUGUGAGAGAGGUAUGUGGAACUCCGAGUGUAGAGGUGAAAUUCGUAGAUAUUCGGGAGAACACCAGUGGCGAAGGCGACAUACUGGCUCAUUACUAACGCUGAGGCGCGAAAGCGUGGGGAGCAAACAGGAUUAGAUACCCUUGUAGUC
rnacentral:rRNA from 1 species